rnacentral:miRNA from 1 species
AAGUGUGUCUCUGGAAUUUCGGGC